ACGGCUGUCUAGCCUUGAAACCAAAACAUUAAUCUCCUUCAAACCACAUGGUAAUAGUUCUGGACAAACAUUUGCUCAACAUUCGUUCAUCUUCCAGGUGUCUUAGGGGUAUUUCGAGUCCGUGUUGAAAUUCCACAAAGAAAUACUGACAAUUUACCGUGUUCCACUCUUGAGUGAUCUACAUUUCAGGUCUUGGGAAUGGAGGGCCUUUUGAACACGGUCUUGAUGGGGAAAUUACUUUGGAACUGGAGGGGAAGAGGAACUAGAAUCUAGAUCAAUACGGUUUCAGGAGGCUGUGAGUGUUUCUGAAAGGGAAUUUCCACCUUGUUCCGUUGGAAUUGGAGACAGACAUAGAAUAAAGCAUGUCUUGUCAGAUGGAUACCAGGACUACUCUCCUCCCGGUCAACCUGUUCACCUGUCCCUUUCAACCCACCCUUAGCCAUGUUGGAAGAAAGCGGAUGUUGCCGAUUUUCACCUAACUUCUAUUUCCCUUAAAAAACGAAGGUGGCGUGGCGGUCCUUCAUCCUGGUCAUCAAACUUUGUCAUCGAAGUCUGGCAUUCUCUGGAUUUAUGGAUUUAUGGUGCUUUCAAAACAACUGGGAACUCAGAAAAAAAACAAGGUUUAACCAUAAACUUUACGUUUAGUUUGUAUUUGUUGUUUUUUCGGUGUUCAUUC